GUCGCAGCGCCCCCCUGUCCCCUCUGUUCGCUCAGUGGGGCAGGGGGCUCCUGCCCAGGUCCCGGUCCUGCCUUCGCCUUCCAAUCCCCGCCGGUCCCAGUGGCCCCCGGCCCGCUUCCCCCCGCCCACUGUUCUCUCCGCCCAUCCGCUCCCGAGUCGCCACGAUCCCCCUCGGUCGCAGGUCUCCACCGGUCCCUCCGCCGGUGCCCGGUGCCCCCUUGGUCCCCACCUUCCCCUUCUGUUUUUCCUCCCGGUCCCCCCGCUCACGGUUCUCCAGCUCCCCCGGUACCCCAAUCCCGGUAUCAUGGUAUCCCGCUCACCCUUCUCCAGUCCCGAUCCCCAUAUUCUGGUACCCCGACCCCCCACAUUCUGACAUCCCGGUGUUCCGCUUACCGCUCUCCAGCUUUCCCCGCUAUCCGCUAUCCCGAGAUCCCGGUGUGUAUCUCCCAGUGUGUACUCCAAUAUUCCCAUAUCCCUCUCACCUCUCUCCCGCUCCCGCCGCUUUUCCCUGACCCGGUAUCCCGAUAUCCCGGUGUGUAUCGAAGUGUCUAUGCCGAUAUCCUGGUGUGUUUCCCCGUGUGUACCGUGUGUAACGCGAUAUCCCGAGACCCCCUCACGCCUCUCCCCCUCCCGCCGCCUUUCCCCUCACGGGCCCGGUGCUCCCGCGGGCCCCGCCCGUCCCCCGCUUCCGCCGCUCAUUGGUUGGCUGCGAGGCUGCCGCUUCCCAUUGGUCAGCUUUGCCCCGGGUCCCACCUCCGCAGCUUCCCAUUCGCCGGGGCUACCGUCAGUUCGGAGUUCGCCCGGCCCCACCUGAUGGUCAUUAAAAAUGAUUGGCGAGGGGCAGGGCCUCUUCAAGGGACGGGGCAAAGGGACACUGACGUUAUGGGCGGGGCUUUGUGCAGAGGGGCGUGAUGCCAGUGAUUGACAUGAGAGGGGCGGGGCUAGUGGGUACGGGGCGGGGCUUACACGCCCAGCCUCGUGCCUUGCACGAGGGCUCGUUAAUU
rnacentral:lncRNA from 1 species